GGAAGCAAAAACAAGGUCAUGGACCUUGAGGAACAGUUCAGCGGCUUCAGGUGAUGAUACCACAAUGGUCGGUACAUAGCCUAGCUUUAUUGACAUUAUGGGUCCAUAUUUUUUGCCAAGAUGGUGAAGGGUUUGGUGAGGAAAGUUCCCUAGCAUAUGGAGGUUACCAAUAAUGGGAAGAGGAGCAGGACCGGGCGGAGGUUUCCGGCCAUUUUUGUGGUGGUUUCUUGGGAGGAAGAAGUAGAUAAAGGAACAAAGAGGUACAAGGAGUACCAAGAGUAUGGCUAACGUUGAAUAAUAUGUACAAGCCCAUUUGCCCGGGCCCAAUUACAAAAACGAAAAAACCAAACCAAUUAAACCAAACCCGGAGCCCAACUAGCCUAAUCCCUGCCCAAUACACCCAAACAGACCCAAAACUACCCAAGCCCAAAUACCCAAACCUAGCCCAAACCCAAAAACAAAAAAGAAAGAAACAAAGAAAACCCUAGCCCCUAACCCUAGCCUCUGCUGGCCGCCGCGCACUACCGCUACCGCCACUGUCCCAUCGACGCCCCACUUGCACCUGCAAAAUCAAAGAAGAAAAGACAGCAAACAAUAAAGAAAUAUCACAGUACAAAGGGGGGUUUUGUUUUUCGGUAUAAAAACUGAUUGAACCCAUUGUAAAAGGGGGGAACUUUUGUAACAAAAAAGGAAAGAAAUAUCAAUAGAAAAAAGAGACAUUAAAAGGUGAUCUCUUCUUUUUCAUUUCGGAUUUUUUUUCUCUUAUACUCGUUCGUUUGCUAUUUUCAUACAUAUAUAUAUACAUAUAAAAACAAUUUAUAUUAGCAAAAUAAAAAAAAUUACCUUUUUGAAUUUUCUGGCCACCGUGUACGGUGGCCGGUGCGGCGGCGGCUCUCCUCGCCGGGUCUCUGGCCGGCGUCUGGAAAAUGGGGAGAAGGUUAGAGAGAAUUUUAGGUUUUUUUUAAGGAAAAGGGAGAAAAUGAAAUUUUAAGGCAAAAAAUGAUUUACAUAGGAUAUUAAAACGGCGCCGUUUUGGGUAAGGGGGAUCCGCGCGUCGACCCGACCCGACCCGGAGAAUCUGCGUGUUUUUAACUUUUGGGAUAUUUGCACACGCAGUCCCUCCGAUUCGCGGCUCGUUGCAAUUUAGCCCUCUUUUCAUUAUUUUCUGUUAUUUUUAAUUUAGCCCCAUAAUUUUAUUUUUGCUUCAAUUUGGUCCACUUCAACGCUACGUUUUGGGGCUUUGGUUUAUUUACUGUUUUGGUCCCUCUAUGUUCGGCGCAUGUUGCAAUUUAAUCCUUUUAGUUUUUUUAUUUAUUUCGAAAUCGCCCAGUAUUUAAGUUUUAUUUCGAUUUAGUCCGCAUUUUAGCUCUUCUAUUAUUUUAGUUAACUAUUUUAUUAUUAUUGUUAUUAUUAUUGUUAUUAUUAUUAUUAUUAUUAUUAUUAUUAUUAUUGCUUUUAUAUAGAUGUAUAUUAUAUAUAUAUAUAUAUACUUACAUACAUACUUUUUGUAAUAUAUAUAUAUAUACAUAUACCUAUUUUUUAUAAUUUAUUUAUACAUGCAUAUACAUACCUACAUUCUUUAUGUAUAUUGUAUAAUUUUUGUACAUAUCCAUAUACAUAUCUAUAUAUAUAUUAUUUUCAUAUAUAUAUAUAUUUACAGAUCCUUCAUCUUUUUAAAAUAUGUAUUUUAUAUAUGUAUUUUAUGUUUUAUGAUUCAUAUAUAUACCUAUAUGUAUAUACUUUUCAUAUUUUAAUUUACAUACGUAUAUAUGUAUAUACUUACUUAUAUGUAUAUAUUUUUAUAUAAUAAUUUUAAAAAAUGUACAUAUGUUUUUAUAUUUUACAUUAUAUAUAUAUGCAUACACGUGAAUACAUUUAUAUAAUUUAUUUAUAUAUAUAUGUACAUAGUUCUUUUUUUAUAAAUAUAUAAAGUAUACAUAUAUAUACAUACUUUUAUAUAUACAUGCUUUCAUAUAUCUCCAUAAUUUAUAUCUUUUAUAUUUUAUAGCCUUAUUCAUUUCUUUAUUUAUAUUUUCAUUAUUAUUUUGAAUGAAUGUUUUAAUUUUAUUUCCUUAUAUGCAUUGUUAUUUUGUAUGUUAUUGGUUUAUCCUUUUACCUAAUUUAUUCUCAUUGCUAUUACUCAUAUUAUUUAUGCUACAUCAUCGUAUUCAUUUUGUUUUGUUCGCAUAUUGACGUUGUGUUUAUUUCGUGUUAAAUUAAUUUUAUUUGAUGCAUAAAUUAUGAUUUUAUUUGAAUAAGCAAAAUCUCGUGUUUAAAUUUGGGAAGGUCGUACCCUAACUUACUGGGUUUCGAUUUUCACAAUAAAUUUAAAUACACGAGCCUUUUUCAAAACUCAAGUUUUAAAUGAUCUCGGGAAUAAAAAAAAGAUCGUGUCCUAACUCACUGGUCGUGAUCCUUUUUUAAUCCGAGAUAGCUAAAUACCUUUUAAAUUGCCGGCAUUCAUUCGCGCAUCGGGAAUUUGAGACAUUGUGUCCUAACUUACUGGAUAUGAUUCUCUUCCUCGAUUAAUGUGAAAUAUGCCCCUUUCCUCAAACAUUUUCAACAUUUUAAUACAAGGAUCGUAUUUUUAAAACUCUUCAAAGUUUUCAAUUUUCGACAUUAAGACAUUAACUAAUCAACUAGGUGCCAAUUUUGGGCGUAUCGAGGGUGCUAAUCCUUUCUCGUGCGUAACCGACUCCUGAACCCGUUUUUUGAAUUUCGUGGACCAAAAUUGUUGUUUUAAUAAAAUCAAAUCGUUUAUUAAAAACAACCACUUUUCAAGGUGAUCCGAUCACACCUCAUAAAAAAAGAUCGGUGGCGACUCCCAUUUUUUUGUUUUAUUUUCAAACCCAAGUCGACCUCGUUUUCAUAAAAAAAAAAUGGUGUGAACAUAAUACAUUUGGGAUGGGAAAGUAGAGGCGGCCGAUUGGCAAUUGAUAACGCCACCUUAAAUAAGAAAGGAACAAAUAUGACUGUAAUUACAAAUAAAUAGCCAAAUAUGAACCAUAUUUUUCUCAAUCAAAAGAAAAAAAAAACAUGAACCACAAGUGGGGAAAGAAGUUGUAAAUAUCUGGGCAGUGUUGAUGUCACACAAACCAGAGCUGAUGAAAGAUGGACAACGAUGUCACACAAAAAUGGGCAGUGUUGUAAAUAUCUGGUGUUCCCAUAUGAAAAGAUUGCAACCACACCUUUUCAAAAUUUUCAAGAAAUGAGCUGAAAACUGUUGCAGCGCAUUUUUCCCAACCACAAUCUUUUGAAACCGGAUUCAAAACUUUUUGUUUUGAAUUUUGAACCAAUAAAAAGAAGUUUAUGUUUUUUCAGGAAACUAAUUAAUUUGAAAUUGAAAUGCAAAUGAUAUCAUUCACUGCAUAUUACCAUGCAUCUAACCUAUAAAUUUUUUUAACAAUUGAACAUUAUACUGGUUCAUUAGCAGCAUACAUAUCACAGUACAGGCUGUCAGAAGAAAUUAUGAUUAAGAGCACUAGCUGAAUUCAAAUGGAAGCAACAUAAAGGACGCAUACACUAAUAUUGCACAUUUCGGUCAAAAACAAAACUUAUUUGAAUCAACAUGAAGUAGAAGAACGGAGAAGGAAGAAACAUACGUUGAGAAAACAGUAUCAAUAUGGGAAGAAACCAAAAUAGCAUUUUCUCUUGCUUCAGGUGCAUAUUUUGGCAGCAUUCUUAAUACGCUGUGAUCCAGAUCAGAAUAAAUAAUUGUUCUGUCCACAAACAUGCCACUGUCCAGGCGAGUUGCACCAACAUUAACAAGGAAAAGGUCCACUUCAACAUCAACCUCCCAGUGAGCUGUUUUUUUAAUAUUUUCUAAUUCUGCCAAAACAUACUGUUGUUGAAAGCAGAUUAAGUUAAAUCUACAACAUGAUUGCACAAGAAAUGGAUCGCAAGAACAGCCACUGUAAUUUAAUAUAUAUAUAAGUCAAGAUGCUUGACCGAUGCAAGAACAGCCCUUAUAAAAUAAGGGAUAAAUCAAAUCAUAAAAAUGCAAGGUAAUCCCUGUAAAGCAGCAAAAUAAGAACAUUUUUAAGGCACAACACAAUAUACCAACAACAACAUAACGUCAUCCAGUUGUGAAAUAAUUCUUUUUCUUUUUCUGGUUUAUCUUUUAAUGAGAAUUUUAAUUUCAAAAUGUAUUCUCUUUUAAGUUUUGGGUCUUGAAUUUUAUCAAUAACUUCGAUCAUAAAUUCUUGGUAUUUGGUUAACAUAUUAAUUGAGAGUUCAUUUUCAUCAUUAGAAGACUGAGAUGUUGUACGUAAUUCGUCUAUUUGUAAUUCAUCUGUUUCGAUAGAUAUAUCAUUUUUAGAAGAAGUUGUUUCUAAAUUCUAACAGAAUCUUAUUUAAUUUUUGCUCUAUUUCUUCAUCUAGAUUUAAAUUAUUGAUUUUUCUUUUAAUUUUACAAUAUUUUGAGAUAUAUCCUGGUUUUUCACAUCUAUAACAUUUUAUUGUUUUAUCAAUUUUGUUUUCUGUUGUUUCUUUCAUUUUCUGUAUUUUCUAUAUUUGAGUUUUUUUAUAAUAUUCUGAAAUAUUCUUCUUUCUAUUUUUUGGUUUUAUAGGGCAACAUGUUUUUGAAGAAGAAGGUUCAUUCCUAAUGUCAAAUUGGUGGCAGAAUGAUCCUAAUUCCUUUCUACAUUGAUAUCUUUCUUUCUUAAGUUGCUUUUAUAAUUUUAAAUCUUGAUAAAUUUUUAAUCCUUCUUUUUGGGUGAAACUAAUUAGUUCACCAUAUGUAAGCUUUUCAUAUGGAAUAAUACCUCUGUAAUUUUCUCUUAUUUGAUUUCUAACUUUUUCUCCAAAUAAAGUGGAAAGUCUUGCUAGAAACUUUUCUUUCUAAAUCGGUUGUUGGUUAUAAGACCUUUGCAUAACUCUAGUCAUAAAGACAUCUUUAUACCAUUUAAAAUCGGUUAAUUUUUUGCAUUUUAAAUUUUAACAACAAAUAAUAAAAUAUUAUUAUUGUUAAUAUUUAUAUAUCUUAUAAUUUUUUUAAAGUCAUAUAUAAUCUUAUAAGUAAACUAUUCCUAUGGUGCAUGGAUAUUUAAUUACUGUGAUAAUACAUUCAUUUUUUAUUUAAGUAAAUAUUAAAAAAUAUUUCCUAAUUUAACCAAAGACAAAUAUAAGAAAAUAACCACUUUUAAAUAUAAUAAGAAUUAUUAAUUCUUUAAAAAAAAGGAAUUAUUAAUUACAAUAAAAACAAUUUGACAAAAUAAAACACAUAUUUAAUAUCAAUAUCAAUGUAAUUAAAAUGGUUAGUAAAUGUAAUUGAAUUGAUUCGAACCAAAUCAAUUAAGAAUCAAAAUUAAAAAAAAAAAUCAUUCCGAAAAAAUUAAAAUAAUUUUAAUUGAUAUCUAUUUAGAGAGUAAAAUAAUUUGCGAAGGGUAAAAUGAUCAUUACUCAAAUUAGAUAAUUAUAUGACGUAAUAAUUACUGAAGAAAAAGUAUUGAAACAUGAUUGAUUGAAUAUUUUAUUUUUAUUAUAAGAUAUUUAUUAAUAUUUUAUUUAAUUAAAGUUAGUGUAAAAAGAAAUCUUCAUCUUUCACAAAAGCCUACGUCUAUGGAGAGGAAAAGAACAAAAUUUUGUUUUAUUUAUAAUUUAGACCUUUUCCAUUAAAAUUGUAACAUUCCAAAAACCGGGCUAGAAGAAAUUGAGUCGUGAAACCAAGAGUGGUUAUCUCUCGAUUUGUGAAUUAAGAUUUUUGAAAUUUUAACAAGUUAAUCUUAUUCAAUGGUUUAGUGUUGUGUUUGUGUGCGCGCGAGGUUUUGGGUUUGAAUCUUUUUGUUGAAAAUUUUUGCUAUUUUAUCUAAAUUCCUAUUCUUGAGCAUCUGGCAUAAAUAUUAUUUUUGCUCAGUUGAUAGCAAGAAUGAGCCUACUGAUUUAAUGGUUAAGCUUCUGUAUAUCUUGUGGUCCUGUGUGUGAGUUCAUGUGAAAGCAAUGAGAAGUUAUUUUUAUUAUCCUGCUUUGCGAGUUAGUUUCUAUUUUUUGAAAUUAAUUAAGUUUCUUUCAAAGAAAAACUUCCUAUCCUUUUUACAUUUUUUUUUGUUUUCCUUCCACUUUUUUCUCUACUGUUUCCUUUUCUUUUCUUAUUGGUUGGGAUCUUCUCCCACCCUUAGUUUACUGUUCGAAUCCUUUCGUAUAUGAUAUUCGAAGUUCUGUUGUGCUGUAAUUCUCUAGUCAAAUUGUGUAAGUGUUCUUUGUCAAGUUUUUCUAUGUAUGAGUUUUGAUGAACGAAGUUAUAUUUUUUUGUAUGGAGUAGAUUUCUUAUUUGCACAAGUUUGUUAGGCGAAGAUCUUAAGAGUAACGCUUUUCCUCAACGAUUUGAGUUGUGUUUCGGUUUACGAGCAAAGGUAAGCGUUUAACUUCGUUUAAGAUUUGGUGUCAAAGUCCUUCGAUGUACUUCGCUUUGGAUGUUAGUUCAAGCAUUUUGUUCUGGUUUAUUUGUUUGAUUUAGCCAUUGUAGUGUUGUUUUUUAGGUUCUAGGAUUGCCUCUGUUGCUUCUACGUCAAAACCAUAUCAAGUGGGUACCAAAAACUUGAAUUUCAGCAAUUUACGAACGUCGAAAAACAUGGCCUUUGAUGCCACACGGUCGUGGGUUAGGCCAUGUGGUAGAUUGUGUGAGGCACUAUUUAGGGUCACACGGGCUAAGGACACGGGCGUGUGUCCAGGUCGUGUAACCUAUUGUUUGGGAUCACACGGCUAUGUGUGAGACCGUGUGACAAGUCGUGUGAGUCACUAAGAGGGCCAUACGGGCGUGUGCUAGGCCGUGUAGGUCACACGGGCCAGACACUCAUGUCGUGUGUAUCCAUAAGGGCGUGUGGGUCAAAAUUCUGAAAGUUUUCCUGAGGCCGUGAACGUCUUUUGGGUCAAAUGUAGGUCUUCCGUAGGGUCUGUAUGAUCUGUAUUAAGCUAUAAAACUUAGAAACCAUUGAUUUGUUAGUGUAUAAUCUAGUACCUGUACGUACAUAACAUCUCGGUGCUUUGGUCCAAUGUUCGGGUCAAGUAUGGGGUGUUACAAGAUAUAUUAUAAUCGCACUAAAACGUCAAUAAGGUAAGCUAGAUACAACAUAAUAAUAACAAGCAAAGUAAACAUGGACUCUUUGCAACUAAGAAUGCAGAGAUUCAAUCCAAUCUAGCAUCCACGAUCCAAUCUAGUCCAUCAAUGAAGUUCAUAUCACUAAAAUGAAGAUGUUUGAAAAUGAUUUGAAAUGUUUUUAAACUUGAUUAAUUUUUAGUCCCUGCAUCCAAGUUUCAAAACUUGCAAAGUCAAUAGCUAAAUUGCUAUAGUAAACAACCAAGUCUCAAGACUCAUGUCUCAAGAUUUAAGGUACAAGUCUCGAGACUUUUAGCCUGAAAUGCUUAACAAUAUGUUUUUAUGCCUUGACUCGAUUCUGGAUAAUUUCUAUACGUAAUUGCUUCAUAAUAGGACUUGGGUAAUGGCUUAAAAUGUUGAAUGGGACCUUGAUAACGUUAGGUUAGCUAAUGAAAGUUUAAUAGUCAUUUAGUGAAAGUUUAUAAGUCAUUUAAUUGUAACAUCGCUUACUCGAGUCAACCUUUGGGUUUAGAUAAAGACUGUUACAUUUAAUAAGAAUGAUGAACUUCGUUUGGACUUGAUUAUCCAUCUGAAUUACAUUCAGUUGUAAUUGCAAAUGUUAUUUUACAUUGUUGAAUAGAACAAUCCACUAACGAAUUUUAAUUCAAAUAUAUAUAAUCUAGUUGAAUUUAUGAUUUCAACCAGUUAUGGAUUUGUAUUAUUUUUAUACUUGUAAAGCUUAAGGGUGUGUUUUCCAUUGAAGGGAAAACACUUUUAAACCAAAAGUAAAGUGUUUUUCCACCACAGAAGUUAUGAAAAACACUCGACUUUUGGAGUCAAAAGUGCAACCAAAAAAUGUUUUUCCACUCAAAUGCAAAAGGUAGGAUUAAAGAACUUUUGGUUUUUGGCUUUUAUAUUUGGAAGUGAAAAAUAUCAAAAUAUCUUUAUUUAUGUUAGCUAUUUAUAUUUUAUAUAUCAUUAUAUUAAAUUAUUUGAAUAUAAUUUAUUAUUAUAUUAGAUUAUUAAAAUAUUUUUAUAAAUUUUACAAAUAAUUUAUAUUUAAUGUAUCAUAAUAUUAAUUAUUUAAAUAUCAUAUAACUUAACUAAUUUUUUACUUUUGACUAUCAUAUUUAAAAAGAAAAUUUAAACCAUCAAGCGUAAUUUUUUGGCAGCAAUAGAGAACACUAAAAAUUAACAAAUCACACUUUUUCAUAGUACUUUUCUACUAAACUUUUCAAAACUACUUUCGUUUUAUUUCCUCUUGCUUUUCAAAAAUACCUUUUAUGACCAUAAAUAAUGCUUAACACAUAAAUUCUAAAAGUAUUUUAAAAAAACACUUUUUAACAGCAACAACAAAUAGAAAACUAACCCUAAGUUGAUGAAAGGGCAACAAAACAACCCAUAAUCAAGCCCAAAUGAGAACCCUUAGCUGAGGAACUCACCUUAAAACAAUGGGACCAUGAUAGUUACCUCAAUUUUUUUGAUAAUUGAUAUGCAUCUUACGUACCCUUAGUUAUCUCACUUUAACCAACUAAACGAUAAGUUGGGUUUGCAAGUAAAUGAUUAGCCCUUGGCAACGAGAGCCCAAACUUCUCAGUCAUAUCGAGUUCAUUAGGCAACAUCCCAUCAGGCAACUCCCAAUCAAAGCAAUGAACUAAUUGAGCUAUAAUUAGACGCAUGGUGGUCAACCCUAACUGCAUUCCAGGACAUCCUCUACGGCCACUCCCGAAAGGGAUGAGUUGGAAAUCAUGUCCUCGAAGGUCUAUGUUGCUAUCCUUGAACCUUUCUGGAAAGAACUCUUCAGCAUUGUUUGACCAUACUUUGUGGUCUCGCCCGAUGGACCAAACAUUCACUAAAAUUCGCGACUUCUUUGGAAUGAAAUAUCCAUCAAUGGUGAUAUCUUCUGUCGACUCACGUGGAAUUAGUAAAGGCGCCACUGGAUGCAACCUUAAACUCUCUUUGAUGACCAUAUCUAAGUAAGCAAGCUUCGGUAGAUCCGACUCUUCUACCAUUCUAUGCCUUCCAACAAUUCUUUCUAGUUCUUGUUGAAGAGCAACCAUGACUGAAGGAUGCCUUAGAAGCUCUGCAAGUGUCCACUCAAUGGCUGUAGCUGUGGUGUCAAAUGAAGCUGCCACCAUGUCCACCAUUAUGGCCUUGAUGUUUUCUCUACCAAUGAUGUACUGCUGCUCUUCAUCGUUAGGGUUCAUGGGUGUAUCCAACAAUGAAACCAGUACAUGAAAGAAAUCUGUGUAAGGUUUUUGUUCCUUGGCGUAAGUCCCUUGUUGAUGUUCAUCAACCAUUUUGUCAAAAAUUGCGUGAAGCCCAUUGCUUGUCCUCUUAAGCCUUCUUCUAUAUCCCUGCAAUGAAACGAUAGAUGGAAUCUGUAAUAUAUUAUUUUAUUCUUCAUUACUGUCAAGUCUUUGUGAAAAUACUAGAUUUAUUUGGUGAAUCAAGUAUUUUAAUUUUUUUUAAUUCGAACCAGAUAAUUUCUAAAGAAGGUAAAGAUACGACGAAUAUGUCACAACUUGAUAAGUAUUUUAAUCUUUUAAAAACCUAUAAAAUCAAAUUAUUCAAAGAUAAUUAAACUCUUAAAAUACUUCUUUAUAGCUAGACCAAUCGAUUAAACCCACAGUUGAAUAGGUUUUUUUUUUAUAAUUUUUAAAUAAUUUAUUCAAUUGAAACGAUUUUCAACGAAUAAAGUGCAACAAAUAAUUUGAAAAAUCAUAAGAACUAGCGUGAUGCAAAACAACUAAAAGCAUGAAAUUGAAUUUUUUUUUAUAAGGGGUUGAAGUGGACUUGUUCAUAGAUUAGGUUAUUUAUCUAGACUCGAAGGCUUGUCUGAAAUUUAGAAGGGUUUAGGCAAAAAAUGUUAGGUUCGAAAAUGAGCUUGGGCAAAAAAAUUAAGCCCAUUUAAAAUAUGGGUUGGACUCGAGCUUGAACAUUCAAGGUUUAAGCCUGGUUCAAUCCGUUUUAAAAUUUAUAAUACUUUAUAUUAUGUAAUUUAGAACACAUUAAGAAACAAACCUAUAGUAAAUAUAUAAUACUACUCUAAUGUAAACAAUAAAAUAAUGUUAAUAUGAUUAUAUAAAAAAUUUCAAUAAAUAAAAAUGUAUAAAAUUAUUAAAUAUUAAAAUAAUAUAAUAUAAAUAUUUAAAAAAAUUAAAAAUAAUAUGGACGAGCCUAAAAUGGGCUUGGGUUAAUUUUUUUGUAAAUUUGAGUGAAUUUGGAUAAAAUUUUAAGUUUAUAUUCUGGGUCAGACCAAACUUAAACAAACAUAAAAUCUAUUAUUAUACUUAAUACCAACCCAUGAACACUUAUAGGUUGAAGGGUGAAGAGACUUAAUAUUUUUGAAGCUUGAACUUUUGUUUUUAAAGGUUGAACCUUGAAGUUCUAGAUGUGAGUAAUUUGUGAAUAUUUUUAAAACUUGAAGCUCGAUGGAGUAAUAUUUAUUAAAUUUAUAAUUAUUUUAUUUAAAAUGUAUUUUAUGUCACUCCCAAUUUGUAAGUCAUAACUCGAUUGUUUUUUUUAAUUAUCUAAUUAUAAAAAUAAGUUUUUAUAAAUAUUAUUUACUCUUUUAAUAACCUUUCACUUUUUAAACAUAAUGUCGUUUUAUUAAAAAAAUUAUUUCGUAGAUCUUUCCUAACACACUAUUUAUAGUCCCUAAUGAAUUAUAUAAGGUUUAACUCAUAAAUUAGUAUUUAAAUUAUACUGAUUUUCUCAUCUUGGUAUCUAAACUUUUUUUAGUCACAUGUGAUACCUAAACUACUUUUUUUUCUUCAAGUUGGUACCUCUGUUGAGUAAAUCGUUAGUCAAACUGUUAAAUCUAUUUAAAAAAUAAGCUUAACCCAUAAAUUGGUAUCUAAACUAUACAUUUUUUCCAGUUUGGCACCUAAACAUUGUUUUAGUUACAAGUGAUACCUAAACUACCAGGGGUGGAGCCAGAAAUGAAAUUUUAAUUUUUAAUAGUCUAUAUAUUUAUAAUUUUUAAAAGAUUAAAUUAAAUUUUUUUAUAAUUUUAGGGGGCCAAAGUUUAAUUUUACCUUUACUAAAUUAAAAUUUUAAAAAUUCCUAAAGGACCUAAAUAACAAUUUUCCAUUUGAGAGGGGAUUGAGGCCCUUGCCAGCCCCCUAGAUUCGCCUCUGUAGACUGCUUUUUUUCCCAAAUUGACAUAUAUGUUAGUUUAAGAUUGUUAAUUGUAUGGAGUUGUGAUUUCACAUCAUUCAUAUCCCUUUCUAAUAAGAGAAUGACAAAUAAGAUUUUUCCUCCUGAUUUUUAGCAUAUUCAAUUGGAUUUGAAUUUUUUUAGGAGAAAAAAAGCUAAAGUUUAAGAUGAAAAAUCUAAUUUGUCAUUCUCCUAUUGGAAAUGAAUAUAGAUGACAUAAUAAUUAAAAAUUGACAUGUGUCAAUAAAAGCAAAAAAUAUUAUUUUCUCUUGUAUAUAUAUUUUUAUUUUUUUCUUUAAAAUUGGACUGAUGGUUGAACCGGUUAAGCCACAAAUUCUCAGUUUGAUCACUUUUUUUUGGUUCGAUUAAAUAUUAUUGGUGAUAGGCUUUUUUUUUAUGAACUUUUUUUAACUUCAGCUCAUGUUUUCAUGAUAAACUUUUUUUUUUCUAACCUAGAAGGGUGCGGCUUGAUACAUUCGCAACAUCCACUUAAAAAUAUAUAUAUUUUAUUUUUCUCUCAUCGUGUAUAUCCGUGAAAAUACAAAUAUUUUAAAAAGAUAUACACUAGUUCCGCCAGAAACAGUGAUGGCACCAAUAAUUUUUUUAAAGAAAAAACAUAAUUAUUGGCUGAUGAUUGGUCGAAAAAGUUGUAACGUUGCCGAUGUGUCAGAUGACACCGGUUUGUACGGUAACAAACAACUUAUUUUCGUAAAUAAAUUUUCUCAUUGUUUGUAAUUAAUUAAAUUUUUUAUAUUAUUUUGAUAAAAAAAUCUACAUCUUAUACAAUUUUCCUAAUUUUUUAUAUUAUUCUGAUAAAAAAACCCAAGAUGGAGCAAGUAAUAACAAAAUAAAUUGUGAAAAGGAAAAUCAUAUAAAAAUAGGAUAAAAUGAGAAAAAGAAAAGGAUAUUUACCUGAAGGUCAAGUGGUGCAAGAAAAGGUAGAUAAUCUGAUAGAUUGAAAACCCCAGCCAAGAGCAUGGUCUCGUCAACUAGCGGUUUGAAUUGGAAUUUAUCAUCCAUGGACUGCCCGAAAAGCAGUUUACACAUCAUUACUUCAAUAACCUUACCUAACUUCCGGCUAAGGUCCACCGUCUCACCCGCCGUCACUGCCUUCCUCACCGAUUCAACCAAUGACACCACCUCUUCCUUCCUAACUGGGGCAAAACAUUCGAUUUUUGAAGCACUAAGGAAGUGCAAAGUGGACAAUUUCCGUGCAGUUCGCCAAUAGGAACCGUAGUGGGCAAAAGCCAAGCCCUUGCCACUGUAGGUCAAGUACUCGGUAGAUUGGAGGUUAGGCCUGGAAGCAAAAACAAGGUCAUGGACCUUGAGGAACUGUUCAGCGGCUUCAGGUGAUGAUACCACAAUGGUCGGUACAUAGCCUAGCUUUAUUGACAUUAUGGGUCCAUAUUUUUUGCCAAGAUGGUGAAGGGUUUGGUGAGGAAGGUUCCCUAGCAUAUGGAGGUUACCAAUAAUGGGAAGAGGAGCAGGACCGGGUGGAUGUUUCCGGCCAUUUUUGUGGUGGUUUCGUGGGCGGAAGAAGUAGAUAAAGGAACAAAG
rnacentral:lncRNA from 1 species